CCUAUUUUAAAAACCUUGUUAUAAAUAGUAAUCAGUUAAAAAAAUAUGUUGUCGGGUAAGCUAAGAUUUUUUUGUAAAUUUCCAUCACAGCUAUAGAUAAUAUCUUUAAUCAUGAUUUUCAUCUAGUACUUUUUACUAUUUCAGUGAUAUUGAGAGUUGUGAAUUCACAUACCACUUCAACCAUGUAAUCACGGAUAAGGAUAUACUUUUACGUAUAUCUUAGUAUGUGACGUUAUCCUGUAGAGUUGCAGAUAAUCAAUAACCAUAGAGCAGUUUGAUAACAUUAUUAGCACG